CCGACCUUAGUUCAGUUGGUAGAGCGGAAGACUGUAGAUCUUUAGGUCGCUGGUUCGAUUCCGGCAGGUCGGA
rnacentral:tRNA from 1 species